UGGGGAAUAUUGGACAAUGGGCGCAAGCCUGAUCCAGCCAUACCGCGUGGGUGAAGAAGGCCUUCGGGUUGUAAAGCCCUUUUGUUGGGAAAGAAAUCCAGCUGGUUAAUACCCGAUUGGGAUGACGGUACCCAAAGAAUAAGCACCGGCUAACUUCGUGCCAGCAGCCGCGGUAAUACGAAGGGUGCAAGCGUUACUCGGAAUUACUGGGCGUAAAGCGUGCGUAGGUGGUCGUUUAAGUCUGUUGUGAAAGCCCUGGGCUCAACCUGGGAACUGCAGUGGAAACUGGACGACUAGAGUGUGGUAGAGGGUACGGAAUUCCUGGUGUAGCAGUGAAAUGCGUAGAGAUCAGGAGGAACAUCCAUGGCGAAGGCAGCUACCUGGACCAACACUGACACUGAGGCACGAAAGCGUGGGGAGCAAACAGGAUUAGAUACCCUGGUAGUCCACGCCCUAAACGAUGCGAACUGGAUGUUGGGUGCAAUUUUGGCACGCAGUAUCGAAGCUAACGCGUUAAGUUCGCCGCCUGGGGAGUACGGUCGCAAGACUGAAACUUAAAGG
rnacentral:rRNA from 1 species